CGAAGCAUAGAUCAAUGGCAGAUCAUACGGUUUUACACACCCCACGUUUUCCCGUAAAUUCCGGUUCGAUUCCGGGUGCUUCGUA
rnacentral:tRNA from 1 species